rnacentral:rRNA from 1 species
UAGUCCACGCCCUAAACGAUGUCAACUAGCUGUUGGGGCCUUCGGGCCUUGGUAGCGCAGCUAACGCGUGAAGUUGACCGCCUGGGGAGUACGGUCGCAAGAUUAAAACUCAAAGGAAUUGACGGGGACCCGCACAAGCGGUGGAUGAUGUGGAUUAAUUCGAUGCAACGCGAAAAACCUUACCUACCCUUGACAUGUCUGGAAUGCCGAAGAGAUUUGGCAGUGCUCGCAAGAGAACCGGAACACAGGUGCUGCAUGGCUGUCGUCAGCUCGUGUCGUGAGAUGUUGGGUUAAGUCCCGCAACGAGCGCAACCCUUGUCAUUAGUUGCUACGAAAGGGCACUCUAAUGAGACUGCCGGUGACAAACCGGAGGAAGGUGGGGAUGACGUCAAGUCCUCAUGGCCCUUAUGGGUAGGGCUUCACACGUCAUACAAUGGUCGGGUCAGAGGGUCGCCAACCCGCGAGGGGGAGCCAAUCCCAGAAACCCGAUCGUAGUCCGGAUCGCAGUCUGCAACUCGACUGCGUGAAGUCGGAAUCGCUAGUAAUCGCGGAUCAGCAUGUCGCGGUGAAUACGUUCCCGGGUCUUGUACACACCGCCCGUCACACCA